rnacentral:rRNA from 1 species
CCUACGGGAGGCAGCAGUGAGGAAUAUUGGUCAAUGGGCGCGAGCCUGAACCAGCCAAGUAGCGUGAAGGAUGACUGCCCUACGGGUUGUAAACUUCUUUUAUAAAGGAAUAAAGUGAGGCACGUGUGCCUUUUUGUAUGUACUUUAUGAAUAAGGAUCGGCUAACUCCGUGCCAGCAGCCGCGGUAAUACGGAGGAUCCGAGCGUUAUCCGGAUUUAUUGGGUUGAAAGGGAGCGUAGAUGGGUUGUUAAGUCAGUUGUGAAAGUUUGCGGCUCAACCGUAAAAUUGCAAUUGAUACUGGCAGCCUUGAGUACAGGUGAGGUAGGCGGAAUUCGUGGUGUAGCAGUGAAAUGCUUAGAUAUCACGAAGAACUCCGAUUGCGAAGGCAGCUUACUAAACUGCCACUGACAUUGAUGCUCGAAGGUGUGGGUAUCGAAAGGGAUUAGAUACCCGAGUAGUC